rnacentral:rRNA from 1 species
CAGUCGCCGCGGUAAUACGUAGGUGGCAAGCGUUGUCCGGAAUUAUUGGGCGUAAAGGGCUCGCAGGCGGUUUCUUAAGUCUGAUGCGAAAGCCCCCGGCUCAACCGGGGAGGGUCAUUGGAAACUGGGAAACUUGAGUGCAGAAGAGGAGAGUGGAAUUCCACGUGUAGCGGUGAAAUGCGUAGAGAUGUGGAGGAACACCAGUGGCGAAGGCGACUCUCUGGUCUGUAACUGACGCUGAGGAGCGAAAGCGUGGGGAGCGAACAGGAUUAGAUACCCAGUAGUCCCUGUCUCUUAUACA